GUCAGAAACACAGCCCGGAAACCACACCGCGACGGGCGUACCGGCAGCCUCGUCAGCAAGGCCCCGCAGCCCCACCCACGCAGACCACUGCGCCGAGCCACCAACUCAAACCCAGCCCUCGGAAGGAAACGACAACCGAGUAAAUAAGGAAUCGGGGGAUAUCAACCCCGCUCCUCCAUGGGCACCACAUCCCAACGGGGGGACCCGCAGAGCGGACUCCAGGG
rnacentral:lncRNA from 1 species